CCCCUGCACGAACGUCGACGGCUACCGAAGGGCAGACGAAAAGCAUCUCCGGCGCCUUAGUAACGCAAGACAUGGGUCAGCAAGAGGUAACCCUGACCGCCACGUCCCUCGCCGCGGCCCUGGGGGUGACGCUGACCCUGGGCUUCGUCUGCGGGUACCAGUUCAAGGCGUGGAGGAUAGAGUGGCUGAAGCGGAGGAGGGAGAGGCUGCAGAGGAAGAUCCAGCAGACGCAGGCGGAGAUCGACCUGCUGCAGAAGGGGCACUGAGGGCUCCUUCCUCAUACUGUCUGCUGCCCUCCAUUAUGUAAAUAGCUUUGUUAAUUCAUAUCACAAAAUAGGAAGUAAUUAACUUAAUUUAACGAAACUAAACAACCGUGCCACAUUUCUAACCCAGCUCAGGGCUUUGGUGAAGAGUAUUUUAUAGGCCGAAACAUAUUCAUUUAAAUAGAAUUUUGGGAAUACACAAGAAAAAAAUGAUCAUUGGUAGUCAGUCUGAAGAGGAUUUGCAGUCCAGCUAUCCAAAAGGUUGUGCUAUAUUAUGGCAGCUGGAGCAUGGGCCUCUCGAUUCUGGGACUGUGAGGGAAGGAUGCAAGACAUUUUACGGGGUGCAGCAUAUAUGUCACGUAAUACCUGGGAACAUUUGGAAAACAGAGUAUCUAACCAUGAAGAAUCAAGAAUUAUAAACUAUUGGUGCUAUUAUGGUGUCUUUGAAGUGUUAUUAUUUGUUUUAUACCUUAAGAACAGGGUUGAGGAGCUAACCCAAAGAAUGAAUUGACAAAUAAUUAUAGUUCUAAAUCAGUUGACAAUAUUUAUGUACAUGAAGAAUAAAACUUUGUAUGGCAUUUUAUACUUCUUUGUAUAUUAAUGAUUCCAUGUGAUGAAUUAUAGAUGAGUAAAUUC